UGGAGAAGUUUGAUCCUGGCUCAGGAUGAACGCUGGCGGCGUGCCUAAUACAUGCAAGUCGUAACGAACUUCCGUUAAUUGAUUAUGACGUACUUGUACUGAUUGAGAUUUUAACACGAAGUGAGUGGCGAACGGGUGAGUAACACGUGGGUAACCUGCCCAGAAGUAGGGGAUAACACCUGGAAACAGAUGCUAAUACCGUAUAACAGAGAAAACCGCAUGGUUUUCUUUUAAAAGAUGGCUCUGCUAUCACUUCUGGAUGGACCCGCGGCGUAUUAGCUAGUUGGUGAGGUAAAGGCUCACCAAGGCAGUGAUACGUAGCCGACCUGAGAGGGUAAUCGGCCACAUUGGGACUGAGACACGGCCCAGACUCCUACGGGAGGCAGCAGUAGGGAAUCUUCCACAAUGGACGCAAGUCUGAUGGAGCAACGCCGCGUGAGUGAAGAAGGGUUUCGGCUCGUAAAGCUCUGUUGUUAAAGAAGAACGUGGGUAAGAGUAACUGUUUACCCAGUGACGGUAUUUAACCAGAAAGCCACGGCUAACUACGUGCCAGCAGCCGCGGUUUAAUAA
rnacentral:rRNA from 1 species